rnacentral:lncRNA from 1 species
CAGCCCCAAACCCUUUGCAGACACAAGGGAAGGCCCCAGGCUCCGCAGGAGAGACCCCACGGCGUCUGCACGAUGGGAAAACAGCCCAGCAGGAGCGGGGACGCUGCCAGCCAUGCCCCGGGGAGCUGGGCGCAGGGGCAGCUGAGGAUGGUGUCCAGCCUACGUCCUGCCCUCCUCCUCCUCCUGCAGGAAAAGUAAAAAGAGAGACCGCAACACAAAGGGCCCUCGGGAGAAUUCCUCCAGUCGAGGCACUGGGGCUUGGCAAGAGCUCGUGAUGCUCAGAAACUAUCGGGGA